rnacentral:rRNA from 1 species
UACAGAGGUCCCAAGCGUUGUCCGGAAUCAUUGGGCGUAAAGCGCGUGUAGGCGGUUCGAUAAGUCUGCUGUGAAAGUCCAGGGCUCAACCCUGGGAUGCCGGUGGAUACUGUCGGGCUAGAGUGCGGAAGAGGCGAGUGGAAUUCCCGGUGUAGCGGUGAAAUGCGCAGAUAUCGGGAGGAACACCAAUUGCGAAGGCAGCUCGCUGGGACGUUACUGACGCUGAGACGCGAAAGCGUGGGGAGCAAACAGG